UACGUAGGGAGCAAGCGUUGUUCGGAUUUACUGGGCGUAAAGGGCGCGUAGGCGGCGCGGUAAGUCACUUGUGAAAUCUCUGAGCUUAACUCAGAACGGCCAAGUGAUACUGCAGUGCUAGAGUGCAGAAGGGGCAAUCGGAAUUCUUGGUGUAGCGGUGAAAUGCGUAGAUAUCUGGAGGAACACCGGUGGCGAAGGCGGCAUCCUGGACCGGCAUUGACGCUGAGGCGCGAAAGCCAGGGGAGCAAACGGG
rnacentral:rRNA from 1 species